rnacentral:rRNA from 1 species
UUGGAGGGCAAGUCUGGUGCCAGCAGCCGCGGUAAUUCCAGCUCCAAUAGCGUAUAUUAAAGUUGUUGCAGUUAAAAAGCUCGUAGUUGAAUUUCGGGGUUAGUAGGUUGGUCGUGCCUAUGGUAUGCACUGGCUUUACUGAUUCCUCCUUCUUGAAGAACUGUAAUGUCAUUAAUUUGGUGUUGCAGGGAAACAGGACUGUUACUUUGAAAAAAUUAGAGUGUUUAAAGCAGGCUAACGCUUGAAUACAUUAGCAUGGAAUAAUGAAAUAGGACGUUUGAUCCUAUUUUGUUGGUUUCUAGGAUUGACGUAAUGAUUAAUAGGGAUAGUUGGGGGCAUUAGUAUUCAAUUGUCAGAGGUGAAAUUCUUGGAUUUAUUGAAGACUAACUACUGCGAAAGCAUUUGCCAAGGAUGUUUUCAUUAAUCAAGAACGAAAGUUAGGGGAUCGAAGACGAUCAGAUACCGUCGUAGUCUUAACCAUAAACUAUGCCGACUAGGGAUCGGAUGAUGUUAAUUUUUUAAUGACUCAUUCGGCGCCUUACGGGAAAC